GAUGAACGCUGGCGGCGUGCCUAAUACAUGCAAGUCGAGCGAACGGACGAGAAGCUUGCUUCUCUGAUGUUAGCGGCGGACGGGUGAGUAACACGUGGAUAACCUACCUAUAAGACUGGGAUAACUUCGGGAAACCGGAGCUAAUACCGGAUGAUAUUUUGAACCGCAUGGUUCAAAAGUGACAGACGGUCUUGCUGUCACUUAUAGAUGGAUCCGCGCUGCAUUAGCUAGUUGGUAAGGUAACGGCUUACCAAGGCAACGAUGCAUAGCCGACCUGAGUGGGUGAUCGGCCACACUGGAACUGAGACACGGUCCAGACUCCUACGGGAGGCAGCAGUAGGGAAUCUUCCGCAAUGGGCGAAAGCCUGACGGAGCAACGCCGCGUGAGUGAUGAAGGUCUUCGGAUCGUAAAACUCUGUUAUUAGGGAAGAACAUAUGUGUAAGUAACUGUGCACAUCUUGACGGUACCUAAUCAGAAAGCCACGGCUAACUACGUG
rnacentral:rRNA from 1 species